AACGAACGCUGGCGGCGCGCCUAAUACAUGCAAGUCGAGCGAGAAGACGUAGCGAUACGUUUGUAAAGCGGCGAACGGGUGAGGAAUACAUGGGUAACCUACCCUCGAGUGGGGAAUAACUAGCCGAAAGGUUAGCUAAUACCGCGUACGUUCCUUGGACUUCGGUUCAGGGAGGAAAGCGAUACCGUGGGUAUCGCGCUCUUGGAUGGGCUCAUGUCCUAUCAGCUUGUUGGUGAGGUAACGGCUCGCCAAGGCUUCGACGGGUAGCUGGUCUGAGAGGACGAUCAGCCACACUGGCACUGCGACACGGGCCAGACUCCUACGGGAGGCAGCAGUAAGGAAUAUUGCGCAAUGGGCGAAAGCCCUGACGCAGCGACGCCGCGGUGGGGGAUGGAA
rnacentral:rRNA from 1 species